CCGGUUCUGGGCUCCUUGGGAACAGAUGCUCUGGGUCUGCCAAUUGUUCAAGAAAAAGUUCCAGAGAAUCAAACUGGCCUGAAGGGGGAGGGCAAGCUGGAACCUGUGUCCCAGGAACAGAACAUGAAACAAAAAUCAGUCCAUUCCCCCCUUGAAUUGCUCUCAUAACCACCAAGAGUUGGAAGCUCCUUACCGGAGAGAGAGUGUUGCUUUGUGUUUCAAAAAUGAGCGGAGGUGCCUGCAGGCGAGUUGGUGAAGCCGCUGAAUUCAAGCAGAUGCGGGUAAAGGCACUAGCUGGGAAGGGAGAGGUGUUCUCUGCUUAGACCGUUCUGAGGAAUUCCACAGCACCCAUGCUGCCCCGAGGCUAAUAAUGGUGUGUGUGUGUGUGUGUGUGUGUGUGUGAGAGAGAGAGAGAGAGAGAGAGAGAGAGAGAGAGAGAGAGAGAGAGACCUCUACAGAGCUAGUCACCUGAGAUCUCCACAUUUCCUCAAACAUUGUUCCUUUGGGUGAUCGUGCCCAUUUCAGAGAUGGAAAAUCCGAGGCCCAGUCCAUGCGAUGGUAAGUCAGGGAUAAAAACCAAGAAUUGGAUUCAAGACUGAAGGAUAAAACUGGCCUGGGAUGUUUUGAGGACUGUUUUGAAAGGAAGAAAAAAAAA
rnacentral:lncRNA from 1 species